UCGGCUUAGAGUUUGAUCCUGGCUCAGGAUGAACGCUGGCGGCGUGCCUAAUACAUGCAAGUCGAACGGGAGGUGCUUGCACCUUCGAGUGGCGAACGGGUGAGUAACACGUGGAUAACCUGCCUCAAGGCUGGGGAUAACAUUUGGAGACAGAUGCUAAUACCGAAUAAAACUUAAUCGCAUGAUUCAAGUAAAAGGCGUACGCGUCACCUAGAGAUGGAUCCGCGGUGCAUUAGUUAGUUGGUGGGGUAAAGGCUUACCAAGACAAUGAUGCAUAGCCGAGUUGAGAGACUGAUCGGCCACAUUGGGACUGAGACACGGCCCAAACUCCUACGGGAGGCUGCAGUAGGGAAUCUUCCACAAUGGGCGCAAGCCUGAUGGAGCAACGCCGCGUGUGUGAUGAAGGCUUUCGGGUCGUAAAGCACUGUUGUAUGGGAAGAAAUGCUAAAAUGAAUAUUUUAGUUUGACGGUACCAUACCAGAAAAGGACGCUAAAUACGUGCCAGCAGCCGCGUAAUACGUAUGUCCCGAG
rnacentral:rRNA from 1 species